AUGAACUUGGUGACAUCCAUUGACACACACCCCACUAAGCCAUGGAUUGUGAUGGGUCAUGAGGGAGGGAAUUUUUCCAUUUGGGACUACCAGAAGCAGGAAACUGUGAUGAAGUUGCAGGUCAAUGAGGUGCCAGACAAGACUGCACUCAUGUUCCAUGCCUUGUCUCAGCGCAUCAAAGUGAGGCCUCCCAAACAUUCCGUUUUUUCAGUCAAAUUUAUCUCUGAAAGGAAAUGGUUGGUAGUGGGGGAUGGUCACGGAUACAUCUAUGUCUAUAAUUACACCAACACUAAGCUGCACAUGGUCGACAACUUCAGAGCUCAUGAUAAGAAAUCUGUGAACUCUCUGGCUGCUCACCCAACAGAGCCAUACCUUCUUUCGUCAUCUACUAUUGGUACAAAUAUCAAGGUUUGGGACAAGAGCAAUAAGUGGAAGAUAUUUCAAAAUUUCAACACGAAACCUGAGAUUGCAUAUUACAAUGGUGUGCGCAGUGUCAAGUUGAAUCCAAGGGAUACCAACACUUUUGCUUGUGUUACCCGUUAUGACGGAGUAAAGGUCGGGAGCAUCAAACCUUCCAGUCUUGAAACCACACUGACGGGGUCAUUCGUCAUGGCCGAUUAUUUGUUCACUCGCGGUGAUGAGCACUUGAUGGUUACUUUGAGAUUUGACUCGCACAUCUCUGAGAUAUGGGAUAUGAAGACACAAAAAGUUGUUCACACUCUUAGCGUGAGUGGGCACAAAACGACCUGGGUUGCUUGCCACCCAAAGCUUCCAAUACAGGUUACAGUGUUAGAUGACGGGACUGUAUGUUUGUGGGAUGCCACUAUCUACAGGCUUGAGAAAAUGGUUCGCAUUACCGACAGCAAGUGUCGUGAUUUGGUAUUUGUCCCAGACACAAAUGGCCCACUCAGGCUCGCUAUCGCAUUUGAGACAAUGAUAGCAAUCAUGGAGGUUAAUUUGCCAAUUGUGAAUACAAGCAAUGCAAGUGGACUAAUAACGGGAACUAACUAG
rnacentral:rRNA from 1 species